GGUUAAGCGACUAAGCGUACACGGUGGAUGCCCUGGCAGUCAGAGGCGAUGAAGGACGUGCUAAUCUGCGAUAAGCGUCGGUAAGGUGAUAUGAACCGUUAUAACCGGCGAUUUCCGAAUGGGGAAACCCAGUGUGAUUCGUCACACUAUCAUUAACUGAAUCCAUAGGUUAAUGAGGCGAACCGGGGGAACUGAAACAUCUAAGUACCCCGAGGAAAAGAAAUCAACCGAGAUUCCCCCAGUAGCGGCGAGCGAACGGGGAGCAGCCCAGAGCCUGAAUCAGUGUGUGUGUUAGUGGAAGCGUCUGGAAAGGCGUGCGAUACAGGGUGACAGCCCCGUACACAAAAAUGCACAUACUGUGAGCUCGAUGAGUAGGGCGGGACACGUGGUAUCCUGUCUGAAUAUGGGGGGACCAUCCUCCAAGGCUAAAUACUCCUGACUGACCGAUAGUGAACCAGUACCGUGAGGGAAAGGCGAAAAGAACCCCGGCGAGGGGAGUGAAAAAGAACCUGAAACCGUGUACGUACAAGCAGUGGGAGCACGCUUAGGCGUGUGACUGCGUACCUUUUGUAUAAUGGGUCAGCGACUUAUAUUCUGUAGCAAGGUUAACCGAAUAGGGGAGCCGAAGGGAAACCGAGUCUUAACUGGGCGUUAAGUUGCAGGGUAUAGACCCGAAACCCGGUGAUCUAGCCAUGGGCAGGUUGAAGGUUGGGUAACACUAACUGGAGGACCGAACCGACUAAUGUUGAAAAAUUAGCGGAUGACUUGUGGCUGGGGGUGAAAGGCCAAUCAAACCGGGAGAUAGCUGGUUCUCCCCGAAAGCUAUUUAGGUAGCGCCUCGUGAAUUCAUCUCCGGGGGUAGAGCACUGUUUCGGCAAGGGGGUCAUCCCGACUUACCAACCCGAUGCAAACUGCGAAUACCGGAGAAUGUUAUUACGGGAGACACACGGCGGGUGCUAACGUCCGUCGUGAAGAGGGAAACAACCCAGACCGCCAGCUAAGGUCCCAAAGUCAUGGUUAAGUGGGAAACGAUGUGGGAAGGCCCAGACAGCCAGGAUGUUGGCUUAGAAGCAGCCAUCAUUUAAAGAAAGCGUAAUAGCUCACUGGUCGAGUCGGCCUGCGCGGAAGAUGUAACGGGGCUAAACCAUGCACCGAAGCUGCGGCAGCGACGCUUAUGCGUUGUUGGGUAGGGGAGCGUUCUGUAAGCCUGUGAAGGUGUGCUGUGAGGUAUGCUGGAGGUAUCAGAAGUGCGAAUGCUGACAUAAGUAACGAUAAAGCGGGUGAAAAGCCCGCUCGCCGGAAGACCAAGGGUUCCUGUCCAACGUUAAUCGGGGCAGGGUGAGUCGACCCCUAAGGCGAGGCCGAAAGGCGUAGUCGAUGGGAAACAGGUUAAUAUUCCUGUACUUGGUGUUACUGCGAAGGGGGGACGGAGAAGGCUAUGUUGGCCGGGCGACGGUUGUCCCGGUUUAAGCGUGUAGGCUGGUUUUCCAGGCAAAUCCGGAAAAUCAAGGCCGAGGCGUGAUGACGAGGCACUACGGUGCUGAAGCAACAAAUGCCCUGCUUCCAGGAAAAGCCUCUAAGCAUCAGGUAACAUCAAAUCGUACCCCAAACCGACACAGGUGGUCAGGUAGAGAAUACCAAGGCGCUUGAGAGAACUCGGGUGAAGGAACUAGGCAAAAUGGUGCCGUAACUUCGGGAGAAGGCACGCUGAUACGUAGGUGAAGCGACUUGCUCGUGGAGCUGAAAUCAGUCGAAGAUACCAGCUGGCUGCAACUGUUUAUUAAAAACACAGCACUGUGCAAACACGAAAGUGGACGUAUACGGUGUGACGCCUGCCCGGUGCCGGAAGGUUAAUUGAUGGGGUUAGCGCAAGCGAAGCUCUUGAUCGAAGCCCCGGUAAACGGCGGCCGUAACUAUAACGGUCCUAAGGUAGCGAAAUUCCUUGUCGGGUAAGUUCCGACCUGCACGAAUGGCGUAAUGAUGGCCAGGCUGUCUCCACCCGAGACUCAGUGAAAUUGAACUCGCUGUGAAGAUGCAGUGUACCCGCGGCAAGACGGAAAGACCCCGUGAACCUUUACUAUAGCUUGACACUGAACAUUGAGCCUUGAUGUGUAGGAUAGGUGGGAGGCUUUGAAGUGUGGACGCCAGUCUGCAUGGAGCCGACCUUGAAAUACCACCCUUUAAUGUUUGAUGUUCUAACGUGGACCCGUGAUCCGGGUUGCGGACAGUGUCUGGUGGGUAGUUUGACUGGGGCGGUCUCCUCCUAAAGAGUAACGGAGGAGCACGAAGGUUGGCUAAUCCUGGUCGGACAUCAGGAGGUUAGUGCAAUGGCAUAAGCCAGCUUGACUGCGAGCGUGACGGCGCGAGCAGGUGCGAAAGCAGGUCAUAGUGAUCCGGUGGUUCUGAAUGGAAGGGCCAUCGCUCAACGGAUAAAAGGUACUCCGGGGAUAACAGGCUGAUACCGCCCAAGAGUUCAUAUCGACGGCGGUGUUUGGCACCUCGAUGUCGGCUCAUCACAUCCUGGGGCUGAAGUAGGUCCCAAGGGUAUGGCUGUUCGCCAUUUAAAGUGGUACGCGAGCUGGGUUUAGAACGUCGUGAGACAGUUCGGUCCCUAUCUGCCGUGGGCGCUGGAGAACUGAGGGGGGCUGCUCCUAGUACGAGAGGACCGGAG
rnacentral:rRNA from 1 species